rnacentral:rRNA from 1 species
CUUCGGUAAUGACGUUAGGAAAGCGAGCGGCGGAUGGGUGAGUAACACGUGGGGAACCUGCCCCAUAGUCUGGGAUACCACUUGGAAACAGGUGCUAAUACCGGAUAAGAAAGCAGAUCGCAUGAUCAGCUUUUAAAAGGCGGCGUAAGCUGUCGCUAUGGGAUGGCCCCGCGGUGCAUUAGCUAGUUGGUAAGGUAAAGGCUUACCAAGGCGAUGAUGCAUAGCCGAGUUGAGAGACUGAUCGGCCACAUUGGGACUGAGACACGGCCCAAACUCCUACGGGAGGCAGCAGUAGGGAAUCUUCCACAAUGGACGCAAGUCUGAUGGAGCAACGCCGCGUGAGUGAAGAAGGUUUUCGGAUCGUAAAGCUCUGUUGUUGGUGAAGAAGGAUAGAGGUAGUAACUGGCCUUUAUUUGACGGUAAUCAACCAGAAAGUCACGGCUAACUACGUGCCAGCAGCCGCGGUAAUACGUAGGUGGCAAGCGUUGUCCGGAUUUAUUGGGCGUAAAGCGAGCGCAGGCGGAAGAAUAAGUCUGAUGUGAAAGCCCUCGGCUUAACCGAGGAACUGCAUCGGAAACUGUUUUUCUUGAGUGCAGAAGAGGAGAGUGGAACUCCAUGUGUAGCGGUGGAAUGCGUAGAUAUAUGGAAGAACACCAGUGGCGAAGGCGGCUCUCUGGUCUGC